rnacentral:rRNA from 1 species
UACGUAGGUGGCAAGCGUUGUCCGGAUUUAUUGGGUUUAAAGGGUGCGUAGGCGGCCCUGUACGUCAGUGCUGAAAUAUCCCAGCUUAACUGGGAGGGUGGCAUUGAUACUGCGGGGCUAGAGUACAGAUGAGGUAGGCGGAAUUGACGGUGUAGCGGUGAAAUGCUUAGAUAUCGUCAAGAACACCUAUAGCGAAGGCAGCUUACUAGGCUGUAACUGACGCUGAGGCACGAAAGUGUGGGGAUCAAACAGG